rnacentral:rRNA from 1 species
GUUUGAUCCUGGCUCAGGAUGAACGCUGGCGGCGUGCCUAACACAUGCAAGUCGAGCGCGUCUGAUUUGAUGCUUGCAUUAAUGAAAGAUGAGCGGCGGACAGGUGAGUAACGCGUGGGUAACCUGCCCUAUACACAUGGAUAACAUACUGAAAAGUUUACUAAUACAUGAUAAUAUAUAUUUACGGCAUCGUAGAUAUAUCAAAGUGUUAGCGGUAUAGGAUGGACCCGCGUCUGAUUAGCUAGUUGGUGAGAUAACUGCCCACCAAGGCGACGAUCAGUAGCCGACCUGAGAGGGUGAUCGGCCACAUUGGAACUGAGACACGGUCCAAACUCCUACGGGAGGCAGCAGUGGGGAAUAUUGCACAAUGGGCGCAAGCCUGAUGCAGCAACGCCGCGUGAACGAUGAAGGUCUUCGGAUCGUAAAGUUCUGUUGCAGGGGAAGAUAAUGACGGUACCCUGUGAGGAAGCCCCGGCUAACUACGUGCCAGCAGCCGCGGUAAUACGUAGGGGGCUAGCGUUAUCCGGAUUUACUGGGCGUAAAGGGUGCGUAGGUGGUCUUUCAAGUCGGUGGUUAAAGGCUACGGCUCAACCGUAGUUAGCCUCCGAAACUGGAAGACUGAGUGCAG